AGAGUUUGAUCCUGGCUCAGAAUCAACGCUGGCGGCGUGCCUAACACAUGCAAGUCGAACGGGAAAGGCGCCUUCGGGUGCCAAGUAGAGUGGCGAACGGGUGAGUAGCGCGUGGGUGAUCUGCCCUUUGGUGGGGGAUAACUCGGGGAAACCCGGGCUAAUACCGCAUGAGCCUGUGGAGUCGAAUUCACAGGGAAAACUCUUUGGAGUGCCGAAGGAGGGGCCCGCGUCCGAUUAGCUGGUUGGUGAGGUCAGAGCUCACCAAGGCGACGAUCGGUAGCCGGUCUGAGAGGACGGACGGCCACACUGGGACUGAGACACGGCCCAGACUCCUACGGGAGGCAGCAGUGGGGAAUUUUGGGCAAUGGGCGCAAGCCUGACCCAGCAACGCCGCGUGGAGGACGAAGGUUUUCGGAUCGUAAACUCCUGUCCCGAGGGACGAAGCAAGUGACGGUACCUCGGGAGGAAGCCCCGGCUAACUCCGUGCCAGCAGCCGCGGUAAUACGGGGGGGGCGAGCGUUGUUCGGAAUUACUGGGCGUAAAGGGCGCGCAGGCGGUUUCGGAAGUCAUGGGUGAAAGGCGACGGCUUAACCGUUGGAAUGCCUGUGAAACCACGGGACUGGAGUGCUGGAGAGGGGAGUGGAAUUCCCAGUGUAGCGGUGAAAUGCGUAGAUAUUGGGAGGAACACCGGUGGCGAAGGCGGCUCCCUGGACAGACACUGACGCUGAGGCGCGAAAGCCAGGGGAGCGAACGGGAUUAGAUACCCCGGUAGUCCUGGCUGUAAACGAUGAGCACUUGGUGUGGGGGGUGAAGAGAAAGUCCCUCUGUGCCGGAGGUAACUCGUUAAGUGCUCCGCCUGGGGAGUACGGCCGCAAGGCUGAAACUCAAAGGAAUUGACGGGGGCCCGCACAAGCGGUGGAGCAUGUGGUUUAAUUCGACGCAACGCGAAGAACCUUACCGGGGUUGGAACUGCGUUCGGCACCGGCAGAGAUGCUGGGUUCCUUUCGGGGACGGACGUGGAGGUGCUGCAUGGCUGUCGUCAGCUCGUGUCGUGAGAUGUUGGGUUAAGUCCCGCAACGAGCGCAACCCUUGUCUGUAGUUGCCAUCAGGUUAAGCUGGGCACUCUACGGAGACUGUCGGCGAAAAGCCGGAGGAAGGUGGGGAUGACGUCAAGUCCUCAUGGCCUUUAUGUCCCGGGCUACACACGUGCUACAAUGGGCGGAACAGAGGGCAGCGACCCUGCAAAGGCAAGCGAAUCCCAGAAAACCGCUCUCAGUUCGGAUUGCAGUCUGCAACUCGACUGCAUGAAGUUGGAAUCGCUAGUAAUCGCGGAUCAGAACGCCGCGGUGAAUACGUUCCCGGGCCUUGUACACACCGCCCGUCACAUCACGAAAGUGGGCUGUACUAGAAGCCGCCGGCCCAACCCUUCGGGGAGGGAGGCGUCGACGGUAUGGCUCAUGAUUGGGGUGAAGUCGUAACAAGGUA
rnacentral:rRNA from 1 species